rnacentral:rRNA from 1 species
UACGUAGGCAGCGAGCGUUGUUCGGAGUUACUGGGCGUAAAGGGUGUGUAGGCGGUUGUUUAAGUUUGGUGUGAAAUCUCCCGGCUCAACUGGGAGGGUGCGCCGAAUACUGAAUGACUUGGAGUGCGGGAGAGGAAAGUGGAAUUCCUGGUGUAGCGGUGAAAUGCGUAGAUAUCUGGAGGAAUACCGGUGGCGAAGGCGGCAUCCUGGACCGACAUUGACGCUGAACGGCGAAAGCUAGGGGAGCAAACGGG